GACGAAUUUGACGCUAUGCGACCCAUUACUGGUGACUUUCUUCAGCAAAGAUGGCAGACAAAAAUACUAGGAUGGACGCAAAUGGACUCCUGAGAAAACCAGCAAACCAAGCUGUCGUCUUGUGAAACAGUGGAUGUAAAGAAUUUAGCUAGAUAAAGCAUUUACUGCAAAUUGAAUAUACAAUUGUAUACAGAGAGCUGUGAAAGCCUGUCUGCAGAUGAGCGGUCC